UUUUCAGUUUUUUCCCCCCCACUAUUUUCAAGAUCUCCGCAGGAAACAUUCUUGUUUACACCUAGAGGCUGAAAGAAAUUUCCUGUAGAAAUCAGUGUUCCCCUCAAUUAGUGGCGCUCCGGAUGUGCAGAACUACAACUCUCAGCAUGCCUUGACAGACAUUGUCCUAUUGUUCAACUUCAAUGCAAUUGUCUAAACAGCAUCUUGAGUAAAUGUGCAGCGUGCCAACGGGAACGUGCAGGUGUUAGGUGCCGGACCAGCUGAGACCUGAAUACACAAGGAUCUGCUUAGCUGAUUUCAUGGUAGCUGGAGUAGACCACCUCCCCUUGGGGUACCUUCUCGGCACACAAAGCAGUGAAUAUAAUCUGUAAAUAGAUGAGAAUUCUCCGCUUCUGAGAGCUGUUUAUUGGAAAGAGACCAUCCUUCAUCCUCCUUUUACAGCUCUUCUUUUUACCCAUCACACUUAUCAUACGGUAGGGGAUAAAUGUCAGAUCGCAGGGGGUCCGACUGCCCAUCCCAGGAGCAGUGGAGCACCGAAGCAGUGGGAUAAUAUGGCUGGAUGAUGAAAGAACAAGUGGAGGAAGCAGCACAACCU